rnacentral:rRNA from 1 species
GUAGGUGGCAAGCGUUGUCCGGAAUUAUUGGGCGUAAAGCGCGCGCAGGCGGUUCUUUAAGUCUGAUGUGAAAGCCCACGGCUCAACCGUGGAGGGUCAUUGGAAACUGGAGAACUUGAGUACAGAAGAGGAAAGCGGAAUUCCACGUGUAGCGGUGAAAUGCGUAGAGAUGUGGAGGAACACCAGUGGCGAAGGCGGCUUUCUGGUCUGUAACUGACGCUGAGGCGCGAAAGCGUGGGGAGCAGACAGGAUUAGAUACCCUGUUAGUCCACGCCGUAAACGAUGAGUGCUAAGUGUUAGGGGGUUUCCGCCCCUUAGUGCUGCAGCUAACGCAUUAAGCACUCCGCCUGGGAGUACGGCCGCAAGGCUG